CCUACGGGAGGCAGCAGUGAGGAAUAUUGGUCAAUGGACGCGAGUCUGAACCAGCCAAGUAGCGUGAAGGAUGACUGCCCUAUGGGUUGUAAACUUCUUUUAUAAAGGAAUAAAACGAGGCACGUGUGCCUUUUUGCCUGUACUUUAUGAAUAAGGAUCGGCUAACUCCGUGCCAGCAGCCGCGGUAAUACGGAGGAUCCGAGCGUUAUCCGGAUUUAUUGGGUUUAAAGGGUGCGUAGGCGGAAGGUUAAGUCAGCGGUCAAAUGUCGGGGCUCAACACCGGACUGCCGUUGAAACUGGUCUUCUUGAGUGAGCGAGAGGUAAGCGGAAUGCGUGGUGUAGCGGUGAAAUGCAUAGAUAACACGCAGAACUCCGGUUGCGAAGGCAGCAUACCGGAGCUGAACUGACGCUGAGGGACGAAAGCGUGGGGAUCGAACAGGAUUAGAUACCCCUGUAGUC
rnacentral:rRNA from 1 species